rnacentral:rRNA from 1 species
UACGAAGGGGGGCUAGCGUUGCUCGGAAUCACUGGGCGUAAAGCGCACGUAGGCGGCUUUUUAAGUCAGAGGUGAAAUCCUGGAGCUCAACUCCAGAACUGCCUUUGAUACUGGAGAGCUUGAGUCCGGGAGAGGUGAGUGGAACUGCGAGUGUAGAGGUGAAAUUCGUAGAUAUUCGCAAGAACACCAGUGGCGAAGGCGGCUCACUGGCCCGGUACUGACGCUGAGACGCGAAAGCGUGGGGAGCGAACAGG